AUACGUAGGGGGCUAGCGUUAUCCGGAAUUACUGGGCGUAAAGGGUGCGUAGGUGGUUUCUUAAGUCAGAAGUGAAAGGCUACGGCUCAACCGUAGUAAGCUUUUGAAACUAAGAGACUUGAGUGCAGGAGAGGAGAGUAGAAUUCCUAGUGUAGCGGUGAAAUGCGUAGAUAUUAGGAGGAAUACCAGUUGCGAAGGCGGCUCUCUGGACUGUAACUGACACUGAGGCACGAAAGCGGGGGGAGCAAACAGGAUUAGAUACCCUGGUAGUCCACGCCGUAAACGAUGAGUACUAGCUGUCGGGGGUUACCCCCCUCGGUGGCGCAGCUAACGCAUUAAGUACUCCGCCUGGGAAGUACGCUCGCAAGAGUGAAACUCAAAUGAAUUGACGGG
rnacentral:rRNA from 1 species